AUGAAAAAUAAAAACACAUUAAGGGUUUUCAUCUACAAGACUGGCAAAGAUCCAAUACAUUGGAUUAUGCACCACAUCGGUGAGCUUGCCAGUCAUUCGCCUAUUUUACUGUCAAAUCCAUUGCCAACUCUUUCCUUCCUGGCUCGUUUUAAUAUGUACCAUAUCACCAAGAAGCAUCUGGCAGGACGGCCUUCUGGAAGCUUGACACUGUACAGUUGGGAUACCGUCCCGACAGGAUGCAGUACGUGGUCUGAACCAGAAACCCGUAUAUGUGUGGUUUCCCCCAUGGUGCCCAGGAGCAGAGAUAGAGGAAUGACUUCUCACUAUACCUGAUGGCCCAUCACAGAAAGCUUCCAGUCUUGCAACGCUGGGCUCUGCCCAAUUAGGAGUAUUGACUCCCAACAGAGGAAUGUGUCCACCAGCAACACAAGAAUAGUUGCACAGAACUGGAAGUUGAGAUUGCCAUUGGGCUACUUGGAACCAAUGGGCAGGGAAAGAGGUUAUCAGAUUGGUGGAGGGGAAUAAUCUCAUCUACCCAGAGGAAAUAGGCUUUCUGAUACACCACGAGCAGGGAAGGCUAUGUCUGGAGCAGAAAGCAAUCUCUUGGUGCCUUUUAGUACCACAUGACCCGUAGUAAAUGGAAGGCACUUUACUCAAUAAAGGCGGGACUAUUAAGAAAUCAGACUCUUGGGGGAAAGAAAAGAUUCCUGCCACUCUACCAGGUAAAGAUUCCCCAAACAGCCACAUGUUGGCAAAGGACAAAGGGAAUGUUGAACGGGUCAUGGAAGGAGAAAGUCAUAAACAUCACCUGCAGCCUCAUGGCCAGCUACAGAUAUGAAGACUGAACAGCUGUGUCUGCCUUUGUAGGUAUGUAUUAGCUAACUUUUUUUUUCUUUUUCUUUCUCACUCCCUGAUGAUUAUGUAUGAGGGAUGCCAAUGGUACUUAAGUUCACAAUCAGAAGAAACAUCCAGACCUGAACAUCUAGGCUUUUGAGACACCUGUGGACACGGUCUGUAUUGUUCUUGGAGCCACCAUAUCACACGCUAUUUGAUUCAUGCCAUGAACCAAAGUGAGCCCAAAAGAAGAUUCUACAACUGAUAUGCCAUUUGCAUCUCCUCGGA